GGGCGCCAAAGGCUGGGAGCGCCCCCGAGAGGGUUGAGGGGGCAGCGGUGUCCCGCGCCGCAUGGCGCCCGCACCACGCGGGCUCUCGGCCGUGCCGUGCCGUGCCGUGCCGUGCCGUGCCGUGCCGUGAGGCGCUGCGACCUUGGGCCGGGGCAGCGGUGGAGGAGCGGGGCGCCUCUGUGCGAGCGCGUCCGGGGGCGAGCGGGGUGCGCGGGCGGCGUGCUGCUGCUGCGCCCUGCUGGGGACCGCGGGAACGGCUCCGUGCGCGGGGCACGGCCCGACCGGGCCGGCGGAGUGCGGCGGGCGUGGGAUCGUUCCCCGUGGGUGCCGCUUUUGGAAGGGAUUAGCAGGGAUUUGGAGGCGCAGAUCAAACCGCUUAGCCGGGGGAGCGGCGGGCGCGUUCGAGAAGGAAGAGGACGCUCCUGGUUCUGACUUGAAAGUGUGUUUUCCCGAUCGCUUUCGGAGAAGGCAGGUAGAGCGGUGCUUCCCUUUGCUCACCUUGUAGGAAAUGCGCGCUUAUUGCGUGAGCAGUUGAAUCACCACUCCCACGGCUGGAAUAGAACUGAGCAGUACAUAUUUCAGAUGUUUUCGUAUUGCCCAACACCGGCCCGUUUUACGGGAGCACGGGAAAGCGCAGACCUGACAGCCUGGUGCAAAGCGCUGAACGCAGCAGCCCUGCUCGCUCACACCCAGCGGGGCCGCAGGCGGCUCUUUGUGAAUGCUCUGCUGUGUCCUUUUGCUCUGAACAAUUCGGUUUUUUGUAAAGGGAGUGACAUUGGCAGUGCUGUGGUAUUUUAUCCCAUUUUCUGAUUAAGACAGUUUAUCCAAAUAUGUUUUUGUAUUUUGUUGUAAUUCAGCCCCGGGGUCCAAACUCUGCUGGUCAUUGUGAAUCUGGGAUAACGCCACCGGAACAAUUCCAUCAUUUACAUUCAGCAUUGUAAGAUGUGCGUCAUUUGUUUUUAUUUGUGAAGAGGGGAAAAAAGUCCACUGGUACAAUGUGGUUACUGUUGCCAAUACCGAAAGGAGCCGGCUGGGAAAUUCCAUAUAAAAACUGAAGGCAUUUCUCUGACUUCUUUGAGUAUAAGCAGAAAAUAUUUAAAGCUUAUUCCUGAUGAACACAGUGUGUGUUCGCUCACGUUUGCAUGCCUCUAUUCAAGAGGAUUUAGCAACUGCAAGAUGGAAAUGUGGAGGCAAAGCUGUAUGCAUAUCCCUUCUGGCAAGUGUAUAGGCAAUCACUCAUAAACACACAUACAGAAACCCAUGCAGGUCUCCACUGACGUCAGAGGCAGCACCACAUAAAGAACAAGGAGAAGAUGAAGCACGACGCAGUGUUCGGCGUGGCAGGCUGCCUCAGAUAGCUGCUCGGAGUGCUUACAGGGGAAGUGAAGUCAGCAGCACUACCAGGGAUUUUACUGGGGUUUUAAUUAGAUUAAUCUUUGUCACAUUGCUCCUAUGGUAUGUGAUGCAUGCGAAGCACACAUAGACAUCCAUCCACAAAUUGAAAGUCUGUAGUUUUUAAAAUCAAGUCUGAAUUCUUGUUCACUGUUCAGCACGGUCCUUGCAGGCUUAUGUCCAUGCCAAGAAGCUGCUGUUGUGGGCCUGGCACUGACGGGCUCAAGGUAGCCUCUUUCUUUUCCAUCUCCUGCCUGUAUCAGGCUCCUCUCUGUGACUCAGGUUUCAUGGCAGAGUGCAAUCAUAGAACCAGAGAAUGGCUUAAGUUGGAAGGAAACUUAAAGAUCAUCUAGUUCCAAACCCUCUGCCAUGAGCAGGGUUGCCACCCACUAGAUCAGGCUGCCCAAGGCCCUAUCCAACCUGGCCUUGAACA